rnacentral:rRNA from 1 species
UAGGGAAUCUUCCGCAAUGGGCGAAAGCCUGACGGAGCAACGCCGCGUGAGUGAUGAAGGUCUUCGGAUCGUAAAACUCUGUUAUUAGGGAAGAACAAAUGUGUAAGUAACUAUGCACGUCUUGACGGUACCUAAUCAGAAAGCAACGGCUAACUACGUGCCAGCAGCCGCGGUAAUACGUAGGUGGCAAGCGUUAUCCGGAAUUAUUGGGCGUAAAGCGCGCGUAGGCGGUUUUUUAAGUCUGAUGUGAAAGCCCACGGCUCAACCGUGGAGGGUCAUUGGAAACUGGAAAACUUGAGUGCAGAAGAGGAAAGUGGAAUUCCAUGUGUAGCGGUGAAAUGCGCAGAGAUAUGGAGGAACACCAGUGGCGAAGGCGACUUUCUGGUCUGUAACUGACGCUGAUGUGCGAAAGCGUGGGGAUCAAACAGG